GCUUGCUUCUCACGCCUAGAAUGUCAAGUGCAUUUGAGCUUGAGAUUCCUGACUGAGCUGUUAGCCGAAUCAAGCUGAUGCUGCAGGAUGCACAUGUGUGGGGGUUGUGAUGACUUUCUUGCAUCAUGAAGAUGAAUUGGGAGAGAACUUCUCCUAGAUGAAUAGAAGUGCCAUAUAUCACAAUCAAGUUCCUCACUUUUCUCUGCUAAAAACUGAGUAUGUUGAUGGACAAAUCUUGCACCAUUCAUCUGUUAAUUGGUAGGUAGAGAAGAUUUAUCAAAUAGAUUGUUGUUUUCAUUAUCUGGCCAACGAGGUGGUGGAACAACCCCCUCCCCUUUUUUCUUGGUUGAGGGAAUUGGGAUUUUGAGGUAGGAAUAAAUAAGAAACUUCAAAGCAGGCAGUUAGUUCUUCAAGAAAUACUAAAUUAGGUGUUUGUAAGAUGAUUCAUUCAUCAUGUCAUGUAAUGUCAAAGAAGGAAAUUAGAUAGAAAGAAAUUAAUAAAAAGUCAAGAAUGAGACUGUCAGAUUGCUGAGAUUUUUAGCUUCAACUCAGUUUUGAAACAUAAAUAAAUUUGGUAUUGUUUUGUUA